rnacentral:tRNA from 1 species
GCGAGGAUGGCGGAACUUGGCAGACGCGCCAGACUUAGGAUCUGGUCCCGAAAGGGAUGGGGGUUCAACUCCCCCUCCUCGCACCA